AGCAGUACACCCUUUUUCAGAUUACUGUUCUCAGACAAAGAACAUUAAGAAGGGAAUGGUACGUAGGUCUACCAAUAGCCAUCACUUGAUAUACUCCCUGGAUAAGACAGCUGUAUGAAGUUAGGGCAUAUAAAAAGUUGUAUCAGCUGUACAAGGACCCAUCUAACCCAUUUACCUCUUUCUGACAGGGCCCAACAAUGAAUGCAUGCUUGGGGAAGAAUAAAUAGAGCCAAGUGAGACUUCCUCGGAACACUCUCCCAACAUCAAGAGAUUUGCAUUUCAGCAUCUUCCAGAGCCAGAGGCUGUAGAUGUUUCACCACUAGUUAGUCCAGUUCUACAUCAUGCUGCUGGCUUUUCAGCAUUCAUCUGUGUUCUGUUUGACUGGACAUUUGGUUCAAUGAACAAAGAAAUACAGCUGUUUCUCAUCCCUGUGCAGCUAGGCAUUACAGAAGUCUGCACUUCUCAUGGAAGCCACAGAAGCCUGACACCACCC
rnacentral:lncRNA from 1 species